AGAGUUUGAUCAUGGCUCAGAUUGAACGCUGGCGGCAGGCCUAACACAUGCAAGUCGAGCGGUAGAGAGAAGCUUGCUUCUCUUGAGAGCGGCGGACGGGUGAGUAAUGCCUAGGAAUCUGCCUGGUAGUGGGGGAUAACGUUCGGAAACGGACGCUAAUACCGCAUACGUCCUACGGGAGAAAGCAGGGGACCUUCGGGCCUUGCGCUAUCAGAUGAGCCUAGGUCGGAUUAGCUAGUUGGUGAGGUAAUGGCCCACCAAGGCGACGAUCCGUAACUGGUCUGAGAGGAUGAUCAGUCACACUGGAACUGAGACACGGUCCAGACUCCUACGGGAGGCAGCAGUGGGGAAUAUUGGACAAUGGGCGAAAGCCUGAUCCAGCCAUGCCGCGUGUGUGAAGAAGGUCUUCGGAUUGUAAAGCACUUUAAGUUGGGAGGAAGGGCAGUUACCUAAUACGUGAUUGUUUUGACGUUACCGACAGAAUAAGCAACGGCUAACUCUGUGCCAGCAGCCGCGGUAAU
rnacentral:rRNA from 1 species